ensembl:lncRNA
CCACGCUCAAAGGAGAGCAGGAAGUCAUCAGGCUCAGGGGUUGGGGCUUUUUUAGGGGGUAGAGCAGCCAAGAUCCCUCUCACAGCCUUGUGCGAGGGUGGCCCAAUGGCCCCGAAGUCCUCCUCUUCGCCCUUGUCCUUUGUCCACCUCGACACCGUCAACCUCAAACCCCUCCCUCUCCCCAGCUUUGUCUCCUACGCUGAACCUGCACUUCCCAAAUCUCCCUGCCCUGGCCCUGCAGACAGCUUGGGAACCAAUCUGGAGGGAGGCCUGAGGCUUCCCCAGCCGUCCCGAGCCUGCCCUGGCAUUCCACGGUACCCUCAUGCCCGCAGCGAGCGGGUGUCCCGGCCGGUGCCCGCACUCCCCGACGGCUGUGCCCCGACGGCUCCCGGCCCUCCUCGGCCGCACGGCCCCGCCGUCGGUGAGCAGCGGGAGCCGUCCCGUGCCCAGCUGUGGCAGCAGCCCCACUUGGCCGGCUGUCCUGCCGUGGUGUGAUUCCUUCUUUGUACCGUGAAAAGCAGCGUGGAGGGGCGGCUUUAAUUUUUAUCGUUAUUAAUCAUAAUGAAAUUGUCUCCUAACCCUUCCUGCGGACCCUCUGAAAAGACGGGUUGAUUUCCCUGGGAAUUACUCUCUCUUCUCAAGCCAAAAAAUUUGGGGUCCGUCCAUACAACAGGCUGUGCUUUGCCCCCCGCACCCACAAUCGGAGGGCAGUUCGGGGCUCUGCCGUCUCCUGCCUCCGCUCCUCUCCACCUGGCCGGGCUGCUCUGGGGCCUUUGGGCUCCAGCCGGUGGCGGCAGAAAAAACCAGAGCCCAAACCCAAAGGUAAACCAACCUCCCGACAAACCAACAGACAUGACAGCAGCCCACAUCGAAACAGGAUAAAAUGCAGGAGCUCUCGCCCGAACCCGAGCGUGAAACGGCGGCCGAGCCUGGCGGUGCCGCUGGCGCUGCCGGUGCCGGUGCCGGCGGGGCUCCGCAGAGGGCAAGGGCUGCCCCGCACCGCCAAGCCCCGCCGCCGGUGCCGGGGCAGCAGCCCGGGCUGCAGCCGCUCCAUUUGGCUCCGGCCAGACCUCCCCAAACCCGUAUCUGCCUUUUAAGUUUCCCCUUUGUUUUCAGAAACUCGAACACAUUUCCUGCCCGCUAUGAAGACAUAGCAGGCUCCCCCAAACCUCUCCCCAGCCACAAGUGCACGCUAAACUGUGCCUUCCCGGGCACAGCGAGUUUGUCCUCCCCGGAGAAGCGCCGAAAGAGGCUCCCCUCGAAAGAAUACAAAGGAGAUGUGCGUCCUGGCUCUUCCAGGCUUCGAUGCCCGAGCGCAGCGAGUCGCAGUCCCGCAGGGUACCCACGUGGGCUCAUCGCACACAGUGUGUGGGCUCCUCCACUGCCAGCUCAGCAGAUGCUGUGGCAUCUCAGGCCCCUUCCUUGCUGGCUCUCAAACACCCAUGGAAACCCACACCUGCUUGGAGACACGAGUGAGAUGGGAAAAAGAUGCUCCAUGACACAAAAGAAAAGAGAAUAACAAGCAGAAUUCACACAUGGAGGUGCAAAAAACCAGCAAGAACCAGGGUCAGAUUCUUGCUUCUCAAGCAAAACCAACGAACCACCACCACCAGCCAAAAGAAAUCUCAUAUGUUUUAUUUGCCUUCCAUGGACUUGUAUAUUUAGCACAUCUUUUAUUGCCCCACUGUGCUUCCAGAAAGUUGCUAUACCUUAGCCUGAAAUCACAUGAGCUUUUGGCAACUCCCUCCUGCUACAGCUGUGAAAGGAGACUGAGCCUCCAGCAGCACUCAGUCAUCCCACCGCUCAUGCCAGAUAUUCAGAGAGUACCUCAGCUGUUGGGGAGGUUCCUCAUGUAGCCUAAAUGAUCAGCUCCCACGUGCAGCACACUAGAGACAUCUCCACCUAAGCCAGAAUGACGCUGAUAUACAAAACUCCCCCAGCCAAUGGUUGGGUUUUAAUAAACAAUAAUUACAUCACA